AUGAUGAUGAUGAUGAUGAUGAUGAUGGUGAUGAUGAUGAUGAUGAUGAUGAUUGAUGUUAUAGGGCACCUACUGAAGCAGGACUUAAAGAAAAAACAAGUUCUUCCCAUCCUCGGACAGUCCCCCCUCCUCCGGUCACCACCUUUCUCCCUUGUAGCUGCAACUCCUUGUUCUGGUGCCUGUUGAGCCAGUGUUCACCCAAAACCUGACACAAAUCCUCCUGACUCCCAUUGUUCUCUCCCUCCCAUCUCUUGGAAUUCUCCAACACUGCCUCAUAUAACUGUGAAGAUUAAAUGAACAACAGAUGAGCCACCCCACCCCACCCCAGGGCCCAGGACCUAGAAGGUAAUGCUCCGUGAAGCCUGUGUUGUUUGUCUACUCAGCUCAGGCUGCUGUCCUCUCUCUUGGACUUGCUCUGUGUGCAGGCGCUGUGAAGUUAAGUCAUUCAUUACCCCAAAAGCACGCUGCCAAGAGUGGGGAAGGUCAAAUACAAACUCCUAUAGUCUGGUUCUAUAGUCCAUGAUCAUAAACCCUCUGUUAUCUCUCUUUCUAAACUGAGAACUUAAGGUGAUUACAUGUUAGGAGAGAUACCCUUUGGGGUGUGGGCAAUGAAAAGAGUCUGAGGUGACAGUAGGUAAGAGAACUCUGGAAGUCAGAGAGGAGCACAUACCGAAGUUCUGAGGCGUAAGAGACAUUGAGGACACUUAGUACCAUGAGAGAUGUCUAAAGUGAUGAGAACUUUCUCCCCUUGUUCACAUCCUGGCACACUUAGAAGAUGGUACUGUUCAGGUAGGCCACAAGAGGAGUAAACGAGGGCGGGGAAAUGGGAAAACACAAGAUGGUGGUACUUUGGUUCAGGCUGUAAAGAGAGGGGCGUCUGGGAGAUUUGGGGGUCUGUGUCAACAGAGCCCCAGCACAGGCGCAUCUUCUUCUGUAACCAAGGCCAAUGCUGGCCAGCUGCUGUGCAUUUUGGUAUAAAUGUAGACUGAGCAGCUGAGGGCUGCUGAAACCAUGGGCAGGCUAGGGGCCUGAGGACUGCUAUAUGGGUGCUGAUAGCUGAGCUGAGCCUCUGAGCACAAGGGUAAGUUCAGACCUUCCCAGGAGUCUGUGUCUCUCCUUUGGGCUGCCCACAUCUCGAGUGAGCCGCCUCGGUCUUAACUGGUAACAAGACAGUGGAUGAGAGGUCUGUAGCUGGAGGAACCUGGCCCAGGGUCAGAGUCUCAGUCCUGGGCAUGUCUAUCAUCCCUUCAUAGAAAACCUCGAGAACGUGAGUUAACGUGACACCGAGACUGGAGAGUGAGACAACAGGAUAAGCAUAACCUCAUAGGCUACGAGAUGGAUUUAAAUGCCAAUUGGAGCAUACUGGGAAACCACAA
rnacentral:lncRNA from 1 species